rnacentral:lncRNA from 1 species
GAUUAGGACACAGACACACACAGAGGGAAGACCAUGGGAAGACACAGAGGGAAGAUGGCCAUGGAAAAGCUAGAGAGAGAGAGUUCUCAGAAGAAGUAACUCUGCCAACACCUUGAUCUCAGAUUUCUAGCCUCCAAAGGUUAUACCAUGCAGUUUCUCAAAACUAUUUCAAGGACAUGUUGGAAGGAACUGGAGGUUGCAGUUGACUCUGUUGUAGCCUUGCCAGCAUACGUUUUCUGGACUGAAAGCACCUGUCUCUCACUUUCUCUUCACUCUGUCCCUCCAUCUGGGGUCCCUGACUUCCCGCAACGGACACCCAAAAGAUAAAAAAGAAAAGGAAAAAAAAAUCAUAAAUAAGCAGUAAGUAUAUGUACAAA